rnacentral:rRNA from 1 species
CUACAAAUGAAUUGACGGGGGCCCGCACAAGCGGUGGAGCAUGUGGUUUAAUUCGAUGAUACGCGAGGAACCUUACCCGGGCUUGAAAUGCAUCUGACCGGCCUUGAAAGAGGCACUCCCUUCGGGGCAGAUGUGUAGGUGCUGCAUGGUUGUCGUCAGCUCGUGCCGUGAGGUGUCGGCUUAAGUGCCAUAACGAGCGCAACCCUCAUCAUUAGUUACCAUCAGGUAAGGCUGGGGACUCUAAUGAGACUGCCAUCGUAAGAUGUGAGGAAGGUGGGGAUGACGUCAAAUCAGCACGGCCCUUACGUCCGGGGCGACACACGUGUUACAAUGGGUGGUACAAAGGGCAGCUACCUGGCGACAGGAUGCUAAUCUCGAAAACCGCUCUCAGUUCGGAUCGGAGUCUGCAACUCGACUCCGUGAAGCUGGAUUCGCUAGUAAUCGCGCAUCAGCCACGGCGCGGUGAAUACGUUCCCGGGCCUU